UUUGGGGGAUUCAAAGCAGUUCUCCCAUGCAGUUCAUCCCCAGCACUUGACCCCCACCCGGUGCCUGGCUUGUGGGGUAAAAUGCUGAGAUUAUGGGAAACUUGUCCUUCCAGCUGGGUGGCCCAUGCUGGGGAACAGCAUCGCUUUCCCUGAUGUGCGGAAAAUACCUGCUGAUCCUUUUCCUUUUCCAGGUCGCUAGGAGGGAAGGAGGGAAGGGCUCGGCGUGCAUUAUCCGUCACUGCAGCGCGGGGGCUGCAGGCCUGGUGGAGGCCCCCAGCCCCUAGUGCACGGCUCUGGCAGGCUGCGGGGGCUGGUCUGCAUGAGAAGUGCAUUUCCAGUAAAAAUUAAAUGACAUCAUCGCCCACUGAGAUUUUCCACUUUUUAUAAGAGCAUCAGGAAAGGUUCUGUGGAAGAUGGAUAAAAAGAUUCAACGGACCACUGA